UAUAUAUAUAUUUAUAUAUAUAAUAAAGAAGUGCCAUUAUUAUUCUAUUUGGUCAUUGGCACUGUUAGAUCUUCAUACUCAUGGGAACCGUUAUCGACUCCCAUUUCUUGGGCUUAACUGCUAUUGUCACUGUGGGGUAUCAGUUGUUGUUCUUUAUAGUCACUGCUCUUCUCAAAUUCGAUAAAGUCACUGACUUUGCUGGAAGCACAAAUUUUGUUAUCAUUGCCAUAUUGACUCUGGUUCUGAAAGGCUCAUGGCAUUUCAGACAGAUAGUCUUGACUUUGCUUGUAGCAAUAUGGGGUCUCCGCCUGGGACUGUUUCUAUUAAUGAGGAUCUUGCAGUGGGGGGAGGAUAGGCGUUUAGAUGAAAUGCGUGCUAGUUUGGGAAAACUGGCAGUUUUCUGGAUAUUUCAGGCUGUCUGGGUGUGGACAGUUAGUUUGCCUGUUACAGUGGUUAAUUCAAGCAACAGAAAUCCAUCUCUCCAGGCUGAGGACAUAAUUGGCUGGAUUAUUUGGUCGGUGGGUUUUCUAGUUGAAGCAACAGCUGAUCAGCAAAAACUAACAUUCAAAAACUCUCCAGAAAAUAGAGGGAAAUGGUGCAAUGUUGGACUAUGGCAAUACUCUCGUCAUCCAAACUAUUUUGGUGAGAUUUUCCUCUGGUGGGGAAUUUUUGUGGCUUCCACACCUGUACUUGAAGGUGCUGAGUGGCUUGUAAUCCUUGGGCCAAUCUUCCUCACAUUGUUGCUUCUUUUCAUCAGUGGCAUACCAUUGCUUGAGGAAUCGGCAGAUAAGAAGUUUGGGAAUGUGACUGGAUAUGGGCUUUAUAAAAGAAAAACUAGCCCUCUAAUUCCGCUGCCACCAGCAGUAUAUGGGAAUUUGCCCUCAUGGUUCAAAACAACUUUCCUUUUCGAAUUCCCUUUCUACAGUCGUAGUCUUCCACAGGAAGGGUCAAACUGGUAUAGAACAAGCAGGAGAGAAAGUAGCGAUGGAAUGAAGAUGCGCUAGUUCUUCAUGACUCUUUGAUUUGCAAUGUUUUAUUUCUCUAUCCUCCUAUGGAUUAGGAGGGUGUGUAUCAGAGGAAGAAAGAAGAUGACAAGGGAGAGAAUGCAUUGGUUUUGCAGAUGGAGAAAAGAGAAAAAAAAAAGGAGCGAAAUUAGAAAUUAUUAAAAUAUUAGUAUGCAAAUGCUACAAUAACUGUGUAUAUAUGCACGGUUACUUUAGCAGUUUUGCAUUUUUGUACAAUUUUACACUCAUUGAUGUGAGUUUUUUUUUUUGGGUUAAAAUGUGUAAAAUGGAUUACUUUUUGUAUUUUGCAAGGUUUUCCAUGGACUGAUGCAGAUGCUCUUAAGGAGUAAAUAAGAAAUUAACUUUAAAA